rnacentral:rRNA from 1 species
UACAGAGGAUGCAAGCGUUAUCCGGAAUGAUUGGGCGUAAAGCGUCCGCAGGCGGUUGUGUAAGUCCGCUGUUAAAGCGUUAGGCUCAACCUAAUAAGGGCAGUGGAAACUAUGAGACUAGAGUAUGUUAGGGGUAGAGGGAAUUCCCAGUGUAGCGGUGAAAUGCGUAGAGAUUGGGAAGAACACCGGUGGCGAAAGCGCUCUGCUGGGACAAUACUGACACUGAGGGACGAAAGCUAGGGGAGCGAAUGGG